rnacentral:rRNA from 1 species
GACUCUCGCAACGGAUAUCUCGGCUCUCGCAUCGAUGAAGAACGUAGCGAAAUGCGAUACUUGGUGUGAAUUGCAGAAUCCGUGAAACCAUCGAGUCUUUGAACGCAAGUUGCGCCCGAAGCCGUUAGGCCGAGGGCACGUCUGCCUGGGCGUCA